rnacentral:rRNA from 1 species
UAGGGAAUCUUCGGCAAUGGGGGGAACCCUGACCGAGCAACGCCGCGUGAGUGAAGAAGGUUUUCGGAUCGUAAAGCUCUGUUGUUAAGGAAGAACGAGUGUGAGAAUGGAAAGUUCAUACUGUGACGGUACUUAACCAGAAAGGGACGGCUAACUACGUGCCAGCAGCCGCGGUAAUACGUAGGUCCCGAGCGUUGUCCGGAUUUAUUGGGCGUAAAGCGAGCGCAGGCGGUUAGAAAAGUCUGAAGUGAAAGGCAGUGGCUCAACCAUUGUAGGCUUUGGAAACUGUUUAACUUGAGUGCAGAAGGGGAGAGUGGAAUUCCAUGUGUAGCGGUGAAAUGCGUAGAUAUAUGGAGGAACACCGGUGGCGAAAGCGGCUCUCUGGUCUGUAACUGACGCUGAGGCUCGAAAGCGUGGGGAGCAAACAGGAUUAGAUACCCUGGUAGUCCACGCCGUAAACGAUGAGUGCUAGGUGUUGGAUCCUUUCCGGGAUUCAGUGCCGCAGCUAACGCAUUAAGCACUCCGCCUGGGGAGUACGACCGCAAGGUUG